rnacentral:rRNA from 1 species
UAAAGAUUCAUCGCUGAUAGAUAGGCAUGCGUUCCAUUAGGCAGUUGGCGGGGUAACGGCCCACCAAACCGACGAUGGAUAGGGGUUCUGAGAGGAAGGUCCCCCACAUUGGUACUGAGACACGGACCAAACUCCUACGGGAGGCAGCAGUGAGGAAUAUUGGUCAAUGGGCGUAAGCCUGAACCAGCCAAGUCGCGUGAGGGAUGAAGGUUCUAUGGAUCGUAAACCUCUUUUAUAAGGGAAUAAAGUGCGGGACGUGUCCCGUUUUGUAUGUACCUUAUGAAUAAGGAUCGGCUAACUCCGUGCCAGCAGCCGCGGUAAUACGGAGGAUCCGAGCGUUAUCCGGAUUUAUUGGGUUUAAAGGGUGCGUAGGCGGCCUUUUAAGUCAGCGGUGAAGGUCUGUGGCUCAACCAUAGAAUUGCCGUUGAAACUGGGAGGCUUGAGUAUGUUUGAGGCAGGCGGAAUGCGUGGUGUAGCGGUGAAAUGCUUAGAUAUCACGCAGAACCCCGAUUGCGAAGGCAGCCUGCCAAGCCAUGACUGACGCUGAUGCACGAAAGCGUGGGGAUCAAGCAGGAUUAGAUACCCUGGUAGUCCACGCAGUA